rnacentral:tRNA from 1 species
GCGGAAGUGGUGGAAUUGGGAGACACUCCAUCUUGAGGGGGUGGCGGUCGAAAGACCAUGCGGGUUCAAAUCCCGCCUUCCGCA